GACGAACGCUGGCGGCGUGCUUAACACAUGCAAGUCGAACGGUGAAGCGCCUUCCUUUUUGGUGGGUGUGGAUGAGUGGCGAACGGGUGAGUAACACGUGAGUAACCUGCCCCCUUCUUCUGGAUAACCGCAUGAAAGUGUGGCUAAUACGGGAUAUUCUGGGUCUGUCGCAUGAUGGGUCUGGGAAAGAUAUUGUUUCGGUGGGGGAUGGGCUCGCGGCCUAUCAGCUUGUUGGUGGGGUGAUGGCCUACCAAGGCGGUGACGGGUAGCCGGCCUGAGAGGGUGGACGGCCACACUGGGACUGAGACACGGCCCAGACUCCUACGGGAGGCAGCAGUGGGGAAUAUGGCACAAUGGGCGCAAGCCUGAUGCAGCGACGCCGCGGGAGGGAUGGAGGCCUUCGGGUUGUGAACCUCUUUCGCCAGUGAAGCAGGCCUGCCUCGUUUGUGGGUGGGUUGACGGUAGCUGGAUAAGAAGCGCCGGCUAACUACGUG
rnacentral:rRNA from 1 species